UUCCACGAACUUUGUUGUAAGAGUCCUGUGAGUGCGACUCUUGCUAGGUCCAGCUUUUUCCUUAGGAGGUGCUGGAGAUUUCCUCUUUUUCUCCGUAGACGGAGGAUAGCAAGACCCAGAUUCACCCGCUCUUUCGCGAGUGAUGGCCUUCUUGUCCCUUGCUUUCUCGAGGUUGCUAACUCUUUUUUCCAUAGAAUCCAUAAAGUUAAUCAACCUCUCUUGUAGCGCAGGAGUUAGGUUCACCCCCCCAUUUGAUGGUAGUGAUGAGGGCACCUCAUGUGUCGAAGGUGGUAUAUUGGAGGUUGGCAUAGUACGGGAACCAGCCCUCCUACCAGAAGCUCCUACCUCAGUAGCAAUGG
rnacentral:lncRNA from 1 species